rnacentral:rRNA from 1 species
ACAUGCCUACAACAUAAUGUUAAUGCACUAGAUCCCAUUAGAACUCUGCAGUUAAACGUUCUCAGGCUAGAGUAGUACUGGGAUGGGUGACUUCCUGGGAAGUCCUAGUGUUUUACAUGCC